rnacentral:rRNA from 1 species
UACGUAGGUGGCAAGCGUUGUCCGGAAUUAUUGGGCGUAAAGAGCUCGUAGGUGGCGGGUCACGUCGGGUGUGAAAGCCCGGGGCUUAACCCCGGGUCUGCAUUCGAUACGGGCUUGCUAGGGUCCGGCAGGGGAGACUGGAAUUCCUGGUGUAGCGGUGAAAUGCGCAGAUAUCAGGAGGAACACCGGUGGCGAAGGCGGGUCUCUGGGCCAUUACUGACGCUGAGGAGCGAAAGCGUGGGGAGCGAACAGG